rnacentral:rRNA from 1 species
GAUGAACGCUAGCUACAGGCUUAACACAUGCAAGUCGAGGGGAAACGACAUCGAAAGCUUGCUUUUGAUGGGCGUCGACCGGCGCACGGGUGAGUAACGCGUAUCCAACCUGCCCAUCACUUGGGGAUAACCUUGCGAAAGCAAGACUAAUACCCAAUGAUAUCUCUAGAAGACAUCUGAAAGAGAUUAAAGAUUUAUCGGUGAUGGAUGGGGAUGCGUCUGAUUAGCUUGUUGGCGGGGUAACGGCCCACCAAGGCAACGAUCAGUAGGGGUUCUGAGAGGAAGGUCCCCCGCAUGGGAGCUGCGACCCGGACCACAAUCCUACGGGGGGCAGCGGUGAGGACUAUUGGGCAAUGGGCGAGAGCCUGAACCAGCCAAGUAGCGUGCAGGAAGACGGCCCUAUGGGUUGUAAACUGCUGUUAUAAGGGAAUAAAGUGAGAGUCGUGACUCUUUUUGUAUGUACCUUAUGAAUAAGGACCGGCUAAUUCCGUG